UGUGAAUUCACAGGCCCUCUGUCCAGGUCAGAAGUAUCUAAACCCACAGCGUUCAUUAGACAUCUUUAUCUUUUGGACUGCGACAAUUGGCGCCCAACAGGGGGCUUUGGCUGCCACAACCCUGGAGUUAUGGGUGGAUUAUUCCAGGGACGAAUGUUGAGUGGUGUUCAGUCAGCCAUUUUGUUUAUGUACAUGAAUGCAGGAUGUAAACAAUGGUGGAAUGUAUUUGACAUUGAACUGGUUGUUAUAUUGAGUCAGUAGUCAGCUUGAAGAAUCACAGUUGAAGGGUUGUUCAUCUUGGCAGAAGGAUCUUAGCAUGUUUUCUAUAACAGUACUUUUCUGGUGAUUGAUUUUGAUGGCGAGAGCCGCAAUUCUUGAUU